UCAGAUUGAACGCUAGCGGGAUGCUUUACACAUGCAAGUCGAACGGCAGCGCGGACUUCGGUCUGGCGGCGAGUGGCGAACGGGUGAGUAAUGUAUCGGAACGUACCCAGUAGCGGGGGAUAACUACGCGAAAGCGUGGCUAAUACCGCAUACGCCCUUUGGGGGAAAGCGGGGGACCUUCGGGCCUCGCACUAUUGGAGCGGCCGAUAUCGGAUUAGCUAGUUGGUGAGGUAAAGGCUCACCAAGGCGACGAUCCGUAGCUGGUUUGAGAGGACGACCAGCCACACUGGGACUGAGACACGGCCCAGACUCCUACGGGAGGCAGCAGUGGGGAAUUUUGGACAAUGGGGGCAACCCUGAUCCAGCCAUCCCGCGUGUGCGAUGAAGGCCUUCGGGUUGUAAAGCACUUUUGGCAGGGAAGAAAAGGUGCCGGUGAAUACCCGGCGCCGCUGACGGUACCUGCAGAAUAAGCACCGGCUAACUACGUGCCAGCAGCCGCGGUAAUACGUAGGGUGCAAGCGUUAAUCGGAAUUACUGGGCGUAAAGCGUGCGCAGGCGGCUCGGAAAGAAAGAUGUGAAAUCCCAGGGCUUAACCUUGGAAUGGCAUUUUUAACUCCCGAGCUAGAGUAUGUCAGAGGGGGGUAGAAUUCCACGUGUAGCAGUGAAAUGCGUAGAGAUGUGGAGGAAUACCGAUGGCGAAGGCAGCCCCCUGGGAUAAUACUGA
rnacentral:rRNA from 1 species